CCGUGCGAAGGUAGCAUAAUCAUUAGUCUUUUAAUUGAAGGCUUGUAUGAAUGGUUGGACAAAAAGUAAUCUGUCUCAAUUGUAAUAGUUGAACUUAACUUUUAAGUGAAAAGGCUUAAAUACUUUAAGGGGACGAUAAGACCCUAUAAAACUUGACAAUAAAUUAGUUAAAUUAUAAAUUGUUAGUAUAACUUGAUUUUAGUUAA
rnacentral:rRNA from 1 species